rnacentral:rRNA from 1 species
CGAUGCAACGCGAAGAACCUUACCUGGUCUUGACAUCCCGGAGACCCUUAGGAAACUAGGGGUGCUUCCAUCUGGAAGAAUCUGGAGACAGGUGCUGCAUGGCUGUCGUCAGCUCGUGUCGUGAGAUGUUGGGUUAAGUCCCGCAACGAGCGCAACCCUUGCCUUUAGUUGCCAGCAGUUCGGCUGGGCACUCUAAAGGGACUGCCGGUGUUAAACCGGAGGAAGGUGGGGAUGACGUCAAGUCCUCAUGGCCUUUAUGGCCAGGGCUACACACGUACUACAAUGGCCGAUACAAAGGGCAGCGACACUGCGAGGUGAAGCCAAUCCCGUAAAAUCGGUCUCAGUCCGGAUUGGAGUCUGUAACUCGACUCCAUGAAGUUGGAAUCGCUAGUAAUCGUGGAUCAGCAUGCCACGGUGAAUACGUUCCCGGGCCUU